CACCUUAUGGUGCAGUGGUUUGAGUGUUGGACUGAGACUCUAGAGACCAGGGUUCGAAUCCCUGCUCGGCCA
rnacentral:tRNA from 1 species